rnacentral:rRNA from 1 species
GUCGAGAAUAAUUCACAAUGGACGAAAGUCUGAUGGUGCAACGCCGCGUGGAGGAUGACGGUCUUCGGAUUGUAAACUCCUGUCAUCCGGGAGUAAGACCUGGCUGUGAAUAGCAGACAGGGUUGAUAGUACCGGAAGAGGAAGGGACUGCUAACUUCGUGCCAGCAGCCGCGGUAAUACGAAGGUCCCGAGCGUUGUUCGGAAUCACUGGGCGUAAAGGGAGCGUAGGCGGCGUGGUAAGUCAGAUGUGAAAUCCCGGGGCUCAACCCCGGAACUGCAUCCGAUACUGCCGUGCUAGAGGAUUGGAGAGGUAGCUGGAAGUCUUGGUGUAGCAGUGAAAUGCGUGGAGAUCAAGAGGAACACUCGUGGCGAAAGCGAGCUACUGGACAAUAUCUGACGCUGAGGCUCGAAGGCCAGGGUAGCGAAAGGGAUUAGAAACCCGGGUAGUCC